rnacentral:lncRNA from 1 species
GAUGCUACUACCUGGAGGGACUCACCUUUACCAACACCAAGGGAGCCAGCCCUGAGAGUUCAUGCCAAGUCAUCUUUCUCCUGCUUUGUUCCCUGGAACUGAUAAACUGCUGCUUCGAAAAACCAGAAGGCCUUGCCUCUAUUUUGUUUUCAGUUCUACUCCCUAAGAGCCUCAGCAUAAAUAUGAGAGGAGAUAAAGGGAAAGUUAAGAAACUUCUGUUAGCAUUCUGAUGUUCAAACCCAAGUCUUGAUCUUCCUGUUGAGGGCCAUCCAAGAGCACCAUGAUGAAGUGGAAAGAGAUUGUUCACAAGAAUGAUCACUUACAGAAGACUGAGCCCAAGGCCCUUGCUGAUGGAUUCCCAGACUUAUAUGCAUCCGAGAUUGAAGAACUUAAACAUCUUGCCCUUGCCAUGACCACAAAUCAGAGAGUAAUAAAAUUUAAUGUCCAUGGACUUUGACCUUCAAAAGACCAAAGACAGGCUGUUUCAAGAACGCGGUCUUGAACAAUUUGUUGACAUCUUCACAAAAGAAAAAUAAUUCUCUAAAUCAGUAACUGAGUCUCCGGAAGGUUUCUUCUUGGAAACCCCCACAUAGUCUCAUGAGCACCUACAAUGACAGAAAGGGGUAAGUCAGCAGCCCCAUGUCUUUGAAAUUAUUGGAUCGAAAUUCUCCUUUCCUUUAGUUAUACCUGCCAUCUCUUUAAUUCAGAAACAAUUCUGAACUUUAGUGAAUUUUUUGCAAUCGUUUUAUUCCUAGCUUAGGACUGUUUCUGCUCCUGAAAAUCAUAGAAUUCCCAGAUUCUGUGGGUGAGAAAUCACUUCAUCAGAGACACAAUAAAAAACAAUCAAUGUUUUGAAAAUGCAAAGUCUGGGUUGGUCACUGUGACUCCUGCCUGUAAUCCCAGCACUCUGGGAGGCCUAGAUGAAUGGAUGGCUUGAGCUCAGGAGUUCGAGAACAGCCUGCGCAACAUGGUGAAACCCUGUCUCUACCAAAAAUGCAAAAAAUUAGCUGGGCAUGGUAGCAUGUGUCUGUAGUCCUAACUACUCAGGAGGCUGAGAUGGGAGGAUCACUUAAGGCAGAGGUUGCAGUGAGCCAAGAUCUGGCCACUACUGCACUCCAGCCUGGGUGACAGAAUGAGACACAGUCUCAAAAAAAAAAAAAAAAAAAAAGGAAGAAAAGUUUGUCACUUGAAAUUUUUUUUAUUAUACUUUAAGUUCUUGAAAUUUUUGAAGUAUCAUAAUAGACACACUCCUAAGGGAAAGAAAAUGGGAAAUUACUAUUUAUUUAUACUAAUGUUUUAAAAUAUAUAUUCUCCCAGUGAUCGUUUGUUUAUAAUGAUUUGAUCAGUUUCGUCUCUAUUUAGUGUACUGGCAACAUCUUUAGACAUCAGCAAGACUCAGGAGUAACAUGUUUUUGUGCUACCCAUAAAAUAAACAAUUUUUUUCUCCAGUCAAUAAUCAUCUCUCAUCUUUCAACACAGUUGCUCUACUGCUUACUAUAGGUCUGUUUUGAGUUAAUUUUCAGUGAAAGGCAGGCAAUUUUAACUAUGAAUCUUCUUUCCUGGAUCAAAUGACCUACCCUCCCCCAAAACAUGACAUGUUAUUCAUAAUCCUGCAGUUUUAUUAAGUCAUGUACUCUUUCGACAAAUAAAGGAGAAUUCAGUUUAACUACUGACUAUCACCAGAUGGAAUGGUUGCUACAAUAAGACAAACAAUCUAGUCAUUGCAAGUAACCAAGAUGAGCAACUUAGUUCUCUGAAAAGUUAUCUAAAUAAAUUACUGGUCAUCAUACAUUUUUGUGCAAAAUGCUAAGAAAUCUUGUUUCUUAUAUAUUCUAGUGAUUAUUGUCCUUCAUUUAUUAUUUUCAAUUAUGUCUCUAAAAUAUAACAACAGGAACAACUAAAACACAGUGUCAAAAGUGAGCUCUUCAUUAAAAAAAAAACAUGCACAGGAUAUUUGGUGCUAGUCCCAGUGGAGAUUUAGGAGAUUUUCAAUCUGUUCAGGCCAAUGAUCAC